GAUGAACGCUGGCGGCGUGCCUAAUACAUGCAAGUAGAACGCUGAAGGAAGGAGCUUGCUCUUUCCGGAUGAGUUGCGAACGGGUGAGUAACGCGUAGGUAACCUGCCUGGUAGCGGGGGAUAACUAUUGGAAACGAUAGCUAAUACCGCAUAACAGUAGAUGUUGCAUGAUAUCUACUUAAAAGGUGUAAUUGCACCACUACCAGAUGGACCUGCGUUGUAUUAGCUAGUUGGUGAGGUAACGGCUCACCAAGGCGACGAUACAUAGCCGACCUGAGAGGGUGAUCGGCCACACUGGGACUGAGACACGGCCCAGACUCCUACGGGAGGCAGCAGUAGGGAAUCUUCGGCAAUGGAAGGAAGUCUGACCGAGCAACGCCGCGUGAGUGAAGAAGGUUGUCGGAUCGUAAAGCUCUGUUGUAAGAGAAGAACGAGUGUGAGAGUGGAAAGUUCACACUGUGACGGUAUCUUACCAGAAAGGGACGGCUAACUACGUG
rnacentral:rRNA from 1 species